ACUAGCCAUUUGUGUGGGAUACUAAUAUAAGGAUGUGGAUGCUAAUUUAAGAAAUGAGUCCACUGAAUUGACUCGAUGAAAGAGAAUAUCUUAUGGAAGCCUUACUUCCAUGUCAAAGAUGGUUCUCUAAGUGGGAGUUAUGCAAGUGAUCCUUAGACCUGAGAUCACCAUAAAAUUUUGUGCACAUGAAUCCAUAUUUUGGUUCAUACUCAAGCAUGACUUUAAGACAUGUAUGGGGUGCUCUGGAUUUGGUAGGAGUGUGUAUGAAAGUUAUGAGUAGGUCAACAUGGAAUUGAUCGCUCUUAGUAAUAGGAGAUCGCAUCCUGUGUAUUCUCAUUCGUAGAUGACUCAGAAAAAUUUUUUUGGCCAAAAGUAGGAAGGAGAUUAGAAAGAGUUUUUAAUGCUUCUUCGUUGGAG
rnacentral:lncRNA from 1 species